ensembl:snRNA U6 U6 spliceosomal RNA
GUGCUCACUUCGGCAGCACAUAUACUAAAAUUAGAACGAUACAGAUAAGAUGGCCCCUGCAUAAGCAUAACAUGCAAAUUCUUGAAGUAGUCUAUAUUUUU